GUUGUAUGGUUAAGUGACUAAGCGUACACGGUGGAUGCCUUGGCAGUCAGAGGCGAUGAAAGACGUAGUAACUUGCGAUAAGCCCAGAUUAGGUAGUAACAACCAUUUGAGUCUGGGAUUUCUGAAUGGGGAAACCCACGUGCAUAAGCACGUAUCCUUACCUGAAUACAUAGGGUAAGGAGGCGAACCGGGGGAACUGAAACAUCUAAGUACCCCGAGGAAAAGAAAUCAACCGAGAUUCCGAAAGUAGCGGCGAGCGAAAUUGGACUAGCCCUUAAGCUUUACACGCGUUAGACGAACGGUCUGGAAAGUCCGACGAUACAGGGUGAUAGUCCCGUAGUUGACGACGUGUGUUCAGUGAAAUCGAGUAGGGCGGGACACGUGAUAUCCUGUCUGAAUAUGGGGGGACCAUCCUCCAAGGCUAAAUACUACUGACUGACCGAUAGUGAACCAGUACCGUGAGGGAAAGGCGAAAAGAACCCCUGUGAGGGGAGUGAAAUAGAACCUGAAACCGUGUACGUACAAGCAGUAGGAGCAGGCUUUGUCCUGUGACUGCGUACCUUUUGUAUAAUGGGUCAGCGACUUAUAUUCAGUGGCAAGGUUAACCAUCUAGGGGAGCCGUAGGGAAACCGAGUCUUAACUGGGCGUUCAGUCUCUGGAUAUAGACCCGAAACCAGGUGAUCUAGCCAUGGGCAGGUUGAAGGUUGAGUAACAUCAACUGGAGGACCGAACCGACUAAUGUUGAAAAAUUAGCGGAUGACUUGUGGCUAGGGGUGAAAGGCCAAUCAAACCUGGAGAUAGCUGGUUCUCCCCGAAAGCUAUUUAGGUAGCGCCUCGGACGAAUACUACUGGGGGUAGAGCACUGUUAAGGCUAGGGGGUCAUCCCGACUUACCAACCCUUUGCAAACUCCGAAUACCAGUAAGUACUAUCCGGGAGACACACGGCGGGUGCUAACGUCCGUCGUGGAGAGGGAAACAACCCAGACCGCCAGCUAAGGUCCCAAAUUACUACUAAGUGGGAAACGAUGUGGGAAGGCUCAGACAGCCAGGAUGUUGGCUUAGAAGCAGCCAUCAUUUAAAGAAAGCGUAAUAGCUCACUGGUCGAGUCGGCCUGCGCGGAAGAUGUAACGGGGCUAAGUAGUAAACCGAAGCUGCGGCAAUGUGCUUUUGCACAUUGGGUAGGGGAGCGUUCUGUAAGCGGUUGAAGGUGUGUGGUAACGCAUGCUGGACGUAUCAGAAGUGCGAAUGCUGACAUGAGUAACGAUAAAGGGGGUGAAAAACCUCCUCGCCGGAAGACCAAGGGUUCCUGUCCAACGUUAAUCGGGGCAGGGUAAGUCGACCCCUAAGGCGAGGCCGAAAGGCGUAGUCGAUGGGAAACGGGUUAAUAUUCCCGUACUUCUUACAAUUGCGAUGGGGGGACGGAGAAGGCUAGGUGGGCCUGGCGACGGUUGUCCAGGUUCAAGUGCGUAGGCUUAAGAGUUAGGUAAAUCCGGCUCUUUCUAAGGCUGAGACACGACGUCGAGCACCUACGGGUGUGAAGUCAUUGAUGCCAUGCUUCCAGGAAAAGCCUCUAAGCUUCAGAUUGUAAGGAAUCGUACCCCAAACCGACACAGGUGGUCGGGUAGAGAAUACCAAGGCGCUUGAGAGAACUCGGGUGAAGGAACUAGGCAAAAUGGUACCGUAACUUCGGGAGAAGGUACGCUCUCGACGGUGAAGUCCCUUGCGGAUGGAGCUAUUGAGAGUCGCAGAUACCAGGUGGCUGCAACUGUUUAUUAAAAACACAGCACUGUGCAAAAUCGUAAGAUGACGUAUACGGUGUGACGCCUGCCCGGUGCCGGAAGGUUAAUUGAUGGGGUUAGACUUCGGUCGAAGCUCUUGAUCGAAGCCCCGGUAAACGGCGGCCGUAACUAUAACGGUCCUAAGGUAGCGAAAUUCCUUGUCGGGUAAGUUCCGACCUGCACGAAUGGCGUAAUGAUGGCCACGCUGUCUCCACCCGAGACUCAGUGAAAUUGAAAUCGCUGUGAAGAUGCAGUGUACCCGCGGCUAGACGGAAAGACCCCGUGAACCUUUACUACAGCUUGGCACUGAACAUUGACCCUACAUGUGUAGGAUAGGUGGGAGGCUUUGAAGCACGUACGCCAGUAUGUGUGGAGCCGUCCUUGAAAUACCACCCUUGUAGUGUUGAUGUUCUAACGUCGACCCCUAAUCGGGGUUGCGGACAGUGCCUGGUGGGUAGUUUGACUGGGGCGGUCUCCUCCCAAAGAGUAACGGAGGAGCACGAAGGUGGGCUAAUCACGGUUGGACAUCGUGAGGUUAGUGCAAUGGCAUAAGCCCGCUUGACUGCGAGAAUGACAAUUCGAGCAGGUGCGAAAGCAGGUCAUAGUGAUCCGGUGGCUCUGAAUGGAAGGGCCAUCGCUCAACGGAUAAAAGGUACUCCGGGGAUAACAGGCUGAUACCGCCCAAGAGUUCAUAUCGACGGCGGUGUUUGGCACCUCGAUGUCGGCUCAUCACAUCCUGGGGCUGAAGUCGGUCCCAAGGGUAUGGCUGUUCGCCAUUUAAAGUGGUACGCGAGCUGGGUUUAGAACGUCGUGAGACAGUUCGGUCCCUAUCUGCCGUGGGCGUUGGAAGAUUGAAGGGGGCUGCUCCUAGUACGAGAGGACCGGAGUGGACGAACCUCUGGUGUUCGGGUUGUGUCGCCAGACGCAUUGCCCGGUAGCUAAGUUCGGAAUCGAUAACCGCUGAAAGCAUCUAAGCGGGAAGCGAGCCCUGAGAUGAGUCUUCCCUGAUACUUUAAGUAUCCUAAAGGGUUGUCGGAGACUACGACGUUGAUAGGUCAGGUGUGUAAGUGCUGUGAGGCAUUGAGCUAACUGAUACUAAUUGCCCGUGAGGCUUAACCAUACAACACCCAAGGGGUUU
rnacentral:rRNA from 1 species